rnacentral:rRNA from 1 species
UGUAUGAAGUUGGAAUCGCUAGUAAUCGCGGAUCAGCAUGCCGCGGUGAAUACGUUCCCGGGCCUUGUACACACCGCCCGUCACACCAUGAGAGUCGGGAACACCCGAAGUCCGUAGUCUAACUUUCACGAGAGGACGCGGCCGAAGGUGGGUUCGAUAAUUGGGGUGAAGUCGUAACAAGGUAUC